rnacentral:rRNA from 1 species
GAGUUUGAUCUUGGCUCAGAGUGAACGCUGGCGGUAGGCCUAACACAUGCAAGUCGAACGGCAGCACAGAGGAGCUUGCUCCUUGGGUGGCGAGUGGCGGACGGGUGAGGAAUACAUCGGAAUCUACGUCUGUCGUGGGGGAUAACGUAGGGAAACUUACGCUAAUACCGCAUACGACCUACGGGUGAAAGCAGGGGAUCUUCGGACCUUGCGCGGUUGAAUGAGCCGAUGUCGGAUUAGCUAGUUGGCGGGGUAAAGGCCCACCAAGGCGACGAUCCGUAGCUGGUCUGAGAGGAUGAUCAGCCACACUGGAACUGAGACACGGUCCAGACUCCUACGGGAGGCAGCAGUGGGAAUAUUGGACAAUGGGCGCAAGCCUGA